UACGGAGGGUGCAAGCGUUAUCCGGAUUCACUGGGUUUAAAGGGUGCGUAGGCGGGCAGGUAAGUCCGUGGUGAAAUCUCUGAGCUUAACUCAGAAACUGCCAUGGAUACUAUUUGUCUUGAAUAUUGUGGAGGUAAGCGGAAUAUGUCAUGUAGCGGUGAAAAUGCUUAGAGAUUACAUGGAAUACCAAUUGCGAAGGCAGGUUACUACUAAUGGAUUUUGACGCUGAUGGACGAAAGCGUGGGGUAGCGAACAGG
rnacentral:rRNA from 1 species